GUUUAAAUAGUUUAUUAAAAAUAAUAGUUUGUGGGACUGUUGAUGCAUGAUUUUGCUUUAAGCA
rnacentral:tRNA from 1 species